AUGAGGGAUAUUGCGCAAUGGGGGCAACCCUGACGCAGCGACGCCGCGUGGGUGACGAAGUCCUUCGGGAUGUAAAGCCCUUUUACCGGGGAUGAGAUGGACAGUACCCGGUGAAUAAGCCCCGGCUAACUACGUGCCAGCAGCCGCGGUAAUACGUAGGGGGCGAGCGUUGUCCGGAUUUACUGGGCGUAAAGCGCGUGUAGGCGGCUGUUUAAGUUGGGUGUGAAAGCCCGGGGCUCAACCCCGGGACGCCGCCCAAGACUGGACGGCUUGAGGACGGAAGAGGGGCGUGGAAUACCUGGUGUAGCGGUGAAAUGCGUAGAGAUCAGGUGGAACACCCGUGGCGAAGGCGGCGCCCUGGUCCGUUACUGACGCUGAGACGCGAAAGCGCGGGGAGCGAACGG
rnacentral:rRNA from 1 species